UACGUAGGCAGCGAGCGUUGUUCGGAAUUACUGGGCGUAAAGAGUGUGUAGGUGGUGCUCUAAGUUUGGUGUGAAAUCUCCCGGCUCAACCGGGAGGGUGCAUCGAAAACUGGAGUGCUAGAGGAUGGGAGAGGCAAGCGGAAUUCCUGGUGUAGCGGUGAAAUGCGUAGAUAUCUGGAGGAACACCGGUGGCGAAGGCGGCAUUCUGGACUACAACUGACACUGAGGAGCGAAAGCCAGGGGAGCAAACGGG
rnacentral:rRNA from 1 species